AUGCACUUUGGCAGCAUGUAUACUAGAAUUGGAACAAUACAGAGAAGAUUAGCAUGGCCCCUGAGCAAGGAUGACAUGCAAAUUCAUGAAGCAUUCCAUAGUUUU